rnacentral:rRNA from 1 species
GUGGGGAAUAUUGCACAAUGGGGGAAACCCUGAUGCAGCGACGCCGCGUGAGCGAAGAAGUAUUUCGGUAUGUAAAGCUCUAUCAGCAGGGAAGAAGAAUGACGGUACCUGACUAAGAAGCACCGGCUAAAUACGUGCCAGCAGCCGCGGUAAUACGUAUGGUGCAAGCGUUAUCCGGAUUUACUGGGUGUAAAGGGAGCGCAGGCGGUGCGGCAAGUCUGAUGUGAAAGCCCGGGGCUCAACCCCGGUACUGCAUUGGAAACUGUCGUACUAGAGUGUCGGAGGGGUAAGUGGAAUUCCUAGUGUAGCGGUGAAAUGCGUAGAUAUUAGGAGGAACACCAGUGGCGAAGGCGGCUUACUGGACGAUAACUGACGCUGAGGCUCGAAAGCGUGGGGAGCAAACAGGAUUAGAUACCCCAGUAGUCC